CGGCGGGGGCGAGGGCGGGGCCCUAGAGGUGGGGUCGCAGGUGUAAACGUGCACGCUUUAAACUCUGCACGGCUUGAGGAGGUCACGCAGCGCUGCGUGUCCAACAGCCAAGCGUCUCACAGCGCGGGGAAAGCCUCUGACUCAGCAGGGUCUUCCCUCAGACACCGGGACCCGUCCUGGGAGGCCACCUAAGCGCCAGCCCCUUCGGUUGGUGACAAACAGUAUGGGGAAGGGCAGGAGCUGAUAAUUUCCUGAAAGUGAUAAAAGCCGUCCAUCCGCAGAUCAGGAAGUGCUCUGCAGCCCAAGAGGAAACGCGCAAAAAACGCUGGAUCCGCACUCCUCUUAAGGGAGCCGGGAAACCACAGAAAAGGGAAAACCUUCCAUUCGCUGGAGGAAAAGAGACCUAUUACCUCGACGUGCAAAAAGGGAAGAGCGAGCGCUGACUUUUCAACAGGAGAGCCGACGCCAAGAGACAGCGGAGCGAAAACUUCGCAGUCCUGAAAGUGAGUAACUGGCAACCUACGAUCUAAAUCCAGCAAAAACGAAGGUCAAAUAAAGACGUUUUGGAGAAACCAACUCUGAGAACGUUUGUCUCCACUGAGCCUCACUUCAGGAAGCAUUCAGCGGUGUCCUUCAAGCGGGAGGAGAAUGACCCAGAACAGCCCAGAGUACAGGAAGGAGGGAGAUGAACAGAGAGGGUGUGUUGUAUGGAACCCCCACAAAGGAGGACUUGUGCAACAGUCACGUCUUCAACUGUCUCUAGAGAAUUAGAAUGUGACAACAACAGCACAGAAGUCAUGAGGGGCAUAAGUGGAGUGUGGUUGGCUGGCCCCCGACAGAGUCCACUGUCCUAGUCCCCAGGACCUGUGACUGUGACCUUACCUGGUGAAAGGACUUAGAGGUGUGAUUAAGUUAAGGAUGUUGAGAUGGGAGAUGAUCCUGGAUUAUCCCAGUGGGCCCCCCCCAAAUGCUAUCACAGUGUCCUGUGGGGGAGGCAGAGGGAGAGCUGACAUGGAGGAGGCCAUGCGCUCACCUUGGAAGAGAGAGAGGUUUGAAGAUUGUUCUAAAAUUUGUACUUGGCAUUGGCUUCGAUCAGAUAUGCCCAAUGUGCAGACACGGAAAUCCUUGCCACAAGGGAAGAAGGUCGUGCUCAUAGAUCCCUAGGAACAGGAGGCAGGCUCCCCAUGCAAGGCCACACGGGGAGCCCAAGGCGCGUCAGGAAGGGCCUCACAUAGGAGUCUUUAUGACAGGCAGGACACACCCGCUUCCGAUGCAGGAAAGGGCAAUGGGAGAGCUCUCCUCAUUGGUGUGAGGCGUGAGUGGGCCAAAGGCCCUUUAGUUAAGGGUGUGGAAGGCCGGACAAGACACAGGCUCACCUAGGGUCUGUUUGCUGAACUGGAAUUUGACAGAAGUUGGUUAAGAAGAGCAUCAAGUCUCUCAGUUAAAUGGGCUCUCUGGGACCUCACAGGGACAUGGCAGUUCUCUCUGUAUUUUAACAAGUAACAUGUGUGUCUUGGUCACUGUUAUAAUGUCUGUAACUCCAAAGGGAGUAGGUGUGUCCUGACCAGGCCUUGGAUUGUGGCCUUAGUAUGUGUGCAGACAUGCUGAUUUUAAUUUAUAUUUUGCAUUCUGUGAGACAAGAGACUCCUAGGGUUCCAUCCACUGAAGGGGACGAUUUUUAGUCAAUGGCCUGAUUGUGUAUGAUCACUGUGCGGAGAAGCCAUCGUUGUUCAGGGCAUCCACUGCUAUGACAACAGAUGAAGUUUGGCCAAGUGUCUUGACCCCUGGGUACAUCUGUCAUCAGGGACGUCCCAAUUGAGGAAGGGCAAGCAGCAGCACUCCACCGAGCUCUGUCACGCUGGUGGCUGGCAGUGCCACUUGCAUAGUCCACGAACUCCCACUGCUGUUCGCUUGGUUAGUCCCAAGGGGCUCCAGGUAGCCAAGGGGUCUGGGGGAGGAACGUGGUGCCACUAGAACCCAAAAAGGACUAAAAGGUGUUGGACCUGUGUGUCCGUAAUGAGUGUGUCACGUGAGUCUCCUUGGAGAAGGCUGUCAUCAGUGUAAGGCCACACCCGUGCUCGUGGAGAGAGGUGGCUGCAGCCGAGCUCUUGUCUGCAGAGGUCGUGUGCGCUGGAAAGCUGAGGGACCCAUGGGCAGCCUGAGAAGGCGCAUGGUGUCCCUUCGAGGUGGAGGCAACUGCAGCUGAGAGGCUGGCGACGUGGGCCCUGGACUGAGCAUGCUAGCUCACCUACCCGAGCAUGACAUGCUCCAGCAGUCGGCUGGGCAGAGCCACAAUUCAGUGACAUCGGGUAUUGAGGGUGGAGGCCCUACAGACGGGACCCUGCUCCAAGGCUGUGGGAAUCCACCUUGGGGUGCCCUCAGUUCUUCCAGUAAAAGAAUAGGCAAAAGUGGGCGCUUUUUUCUCCCUUACCUUGGUUUUCUUUCUUCCUCUUCUCCCCGCUCUUUUUUCUUUUCUGUUUUCGGCUCCAUUUAUCUCUGGCUGAGAAGUGUGGGCUGCGGCUGCCUCUCCCUGGGACGUCGACCGUCAGUGGCAGCAUCGGUCCUUCUCAUAACAAAAUCCAGUUUUCUCUCUUAAAUCAGACCUGGCUGCAUCUCUAGGCAGGCGAGAACUUUUCUGUUUCCCCCUGAUUGUACUCUUGAAGCCUUGGUGUUUGGGCUAUGGCCCUGGGGACAUGGCCCUGCCCAGGACUCGUGGAUUCCUGGAGGCGCUGAGACAUGAGAGAGGGCCUUCAACGACAGAUGAACUACCAGAGCCCACACCCCAUGGGCUCCCAUCUCCUUCUCCCACACCAAGCAAAUACUCCCCCUGCCCCAAGCCGCCCCUGCCAGGUACUGGCCAACCAGGGGCCGCCCCCAUAGCCCAGACCUGCAGAAAGCGUUCAAACCAGCCAGUGCUAACUUUCUGUGUGUACCUUUGCUGCCUUGCACGUUCUUCCCUUUGGAGACCCCAGUAAGGCUGUGAGCCACGUUCUCUUCAUGGCUGCCUGUCUCCUGGCUCAAACUGGUGUCUCCCGUGUUGCCCUGUGUGGUGUACUCUUUCUCUUGGGAAAUAUAAGUAAUAGAUUCUUCUUUCAAAGGCAGUUGCCUCUGUUUCUGUUACCUUCCCAUAUCUGAUUAAAACAAAUCCUGGGUGCAAAUUUUAGGAUAAAUGCUGUGUUGCUUUGACAAUGGAGGAAGGGGCCGCAAGCACAGGGAUGCAGGGAUGGCGGCUCCAGAAGCUGGAAAAGGCCGGCAGUCGGCCACUGGAGGGAAAGGUCCUGCCUGCACCUAGGACACAUGUGGGGGCCUCGGCUCUCCUAGAUUGGAACCAUAUGGCCAGAGCAGCGGGGACAGCGUGGCAGUGGGCACAGAUGGACAAAGGCCCCCCAGGGACACAGCACGGCACACAUGGCAGGGUCUGUAGGGUCAUAGAGUUUUGUAAAACCUGAUAAACUGAGGUGCUGUGACCACAGCAGUUCCCACGCUGUCUCGGGCUCCCAGUCGUGCUUCCCCUCUUGCUGGAGAGGUGGGGGCACUUUUGGGAUCUGGCCCGGGGGAAGUUGAGUUGUGGAAAUGUCAGCUGGGGUUCAGUGGAGUGUAUUUAUGUCGUCCCCGUCACUUCCCUGCAUAAUGAAGUUGAUGCCGGACAUCCUGGAGUAGAGAACAGCUUCCAGGAGCUCCGGUGGCAACAAACCAGGAGGAGUGAGUCACUGGACCCUGAGAAAGGCACUGAGCACCCGCUGACUUCACAGGAAAUGCUGACGUUGACGAGGUCACGCAGAGUCCCGACAGCCAAGGUGACGAGGACAUCAUGGGGAAGGCUCAUCAGAUCAGCAGCCACGUUCCAGACCAGUCACAGCGCAGGGAACGUGCGCUGCCCAGAACUUCCCUGCUUUCAGAUGAAAGAAGCAGAGAAAGUCUCUCAAACUUCGGCAGCAGUCCUAUCGAUAGCCCCAAUGGCCUCCGGUUGCCCCAAACCUGGAUUGGCUCAGCCCCACGCUUACCUGGUCAGUGUGCCGGGUCACUAGACCACAGCUGGACCCCACCUCACACCGCCUGCCGGAGCAGGCCUGCUGGCUGGGAGAUGUAAAUGUGAAAGCCAGCAACUCCAGCAUCCUCACCGCCUCCGCCCAGGCAGGUGCCUGGACAGCACCCCAAGUCCUUGCCAGAAAGGACAAGGCAGAUCACUGGAAAAGGUGGAAACUAAGAAGGCCUGUUCGCCGAAAGCCAGCAUGGAAAGGGUGGCAGGGCCGCCUGCUGUGGAGGAGGCUGUGUGCUCUGUGGUGCAGACACAGUGGAUCCCCCAUAAUUGCAAAUUCACCCCCUCCCUGGGGUUUGUCUGUGGCCCCACAAUCCACGCUCACAGUGCUUCCGUGGUCUUUUGGGGACCUGCACGCUCCCAGCUGAGGUGGAUGGGACGACGCUCUGCCUUCUGGUUUCAGCUCACGUGUCAACAAGUGUCCUUUCCCGCCUGUUUAGUGCCACGUUUUCCACACCUUUGUGCUUUUUGUUGGUGAAGACGGCCCGAGGCCUGGAGCUGGAGUUCCGCCUGGUGUUCUAAGCGCAGGAGGCCGGACGAGCCUGACGGAGAAGAUCCCGCGUCACGUGGGCUCCUGCAGGCCGAGGGCAGUCUGCCGCGGGCUCGGCGUUCACGCAUCAGCCACGUGCGUGCAGUGCGGUGUCUUUCAGCAGAAGCACACGCGGAACGAGGCUCUGCCGACCCACUGAGGAAACCUGCGGCCGCACCUCGCGGAAGCUGGCGCUGAUUUCCCCAGGAGCAGGGCUUCGCGAUCCCUCACUCAGUAAUUCCAUCUUCGCGGUGACUUUUUAGAGCAGAGCAACCGCGAAUAGCGAGAAUGGACUGUAACUGGCGAAAGAAUCGCCUCCAGAAUGUACGAUGAGCUCCUGCAAACCGGUGAGAAGGAGACACCCCACGGCACACAGUCACGACAUUGGACAGAGGCUCCGAAGAAGAGCUGCAGGUGGCAGGGGACUCUGACGGGGUGCAGGCGUCCCUCACCACAGAGCAAAUGCCCACCACACAGACGCCUCUGCACCCCACCAGAAAGCCCGAAAUCACAAAACUGUUAGUGUCCAAGGUUGACAAAAACGCCUGAAGAGGAACGUCUCCUGUGCUGCUGGUGGAAGCACUGCAAGUGGACGAACGAGAAGGCCUCCAGGAAGAAGGAACACCUGCAGGACGUUCAUCAUCGUAGACAGAAGAAAAGAACAAUGAGGGACCCUGGAGUCCGUCACGCCCGAAGGCCGACAUCUCCACACCCCUCCUCACUGCCCAUUUUCCCUAUAACUGCCUCGAGGUUCCGUAAUUCUUUGAGAUGGUUUUUUGAGACAUUAGUCUGCCAUCUUCCGGUUAUACUGGCUAAUCAAAUAAAGGCUUCCUUUCUCGAUCUCUAACUCAUCGUGAUUAAUUGGCUCAGAUCAUGGUGAGCAGAGCGAGACCGUUGCUUGGUACCAGUAGGAGUUUUGAUUUUUGCGUCGAUUUUUGGAAAGCUGUUUGGGGUUAUCUUCCAGAGGUGAACACAGCAUGCCUACUUCAGCAGACAUGUGCUCAUGUGCACAUGUGGACGAGAAUGUUCCUGGAAGCCUUUUCAUAAAAACCGAAGCCUGGCAACCAGCCGCUAACAGUAGAAAGAACAAAGUGUAGUGCAUACCCACAGCAGAACGGCCGCAAGUGUGCAACUGAGUGUGCAGCAGCAACGAAAAGACCCAUCAGCGGCGCUGAAAACAAAACGCCAGGUGAAAGGAGCCAUCGCUGCACACUGCACUACCAGUCCAUUUCCGUGCUGUCGCUCAGGCCAGCAGAGUGCGGGUGUGAGCGUUCAGUGUGCAGGGUUCUGGAACAGAGUGCCACAGACGUAAAUGGCAGCUUAAACACAGACAUUUAUUCUCUCCCUAAUUCUCUCCCUGAUAUGUUGAAACUCUAACACUCCACCCCCCAAGCCCGUGAUGGUGUCCGGAGGUGGGGCCUUCGGUAGGUGAUUGGGGUCAGGUGAGGUCAUGAGGGUGGGACCCUCCUGAUGGGAUUUGUGCCCUUCCGAGAAGAGACACCAGAGAGCUUGCGCUGUCUCUCCACCGUGUGCAGACACAUCGGCAAGGUGGCUGUCUGCAAACGAGGAAGUGGCUCUCGCCAGAACCCGGCCGUGCUGGCACCUGCUCUCCGGCUUCCAGCCUCCAGAACUGGGAGAAAUAAAUGUCUGCUGUUGAGGCCGCCAGUCUGUGGUAUUUUGUUAUGGGGCCCGAGCUGACCAUGACAGUGAGAACAGAAAGGGAGAGACAGACAGCCCUGUGGAACCAAAUGGUCAAGAGCCUUGAAGGGGCCUGCACAAGAGGCUGUCCACAGCAGCAGACGGAGCCUGGGCCUGCACUGGGUGCUGUGUUCCAGGCAGAGAUUUGGUUGUGAGCUUCAACCACAAGCUGCCAGUUAUUUAGGAAGGUAUUCUAAGAAGUUCGUGGGAGGGUUUGAUGGAAGUACAGCUUUCCAUUUGGUUAAUGUGCUGGAUCAGGAAGCACCAAGUUCUGCAGAAAUGGUCAGAUGUGGAUUUUCCUUUUUAAGAUGUUUUCUCUGCACUCCUCUUUCUUGCGACUUGAGAAAGAAAGCUAUGUCCUCAAAUCCUGUUUCCUUAAGUCAGUGGCAGUUUGGAUCAUGGGAAGUGGGCUUCGAUAGAAAACUCUGCCUUCUCACAGGCACUGUGAUUGGGUCCCAACCCUCCCAGGCCUAAUGGAGAACAGGUUCAUCGGGUGGGUGGCCGAAAGAGAGAGGAGUGGACCAGGGUGCCCGAAGCCAUCUGGCGUGAGGUUCAGGAAGUGGGGAGGAGGCUGGCAGGAAGCUGAAGGCUCCAGGAGCAGGGACUCAGAGCAGGUCCCAGGCGCCUGUCUGAGGGACUCAACCGGCCUUUGCACUCUCUCUUCUCCCCCGACCCCCACCACCCAGAUGUGCUCUCUGCUGCCAGGCCAGCUCCUCCUGGUCACUCAGUCCUGGCUGCCUCCAUCCACAGUGGCACCAAGACACUAAGCGGCGUCUCCCGGGCCUGUUUAUUUUUCAGUUUGCUGUCUGUCUGCCCCAGAACUCAGCUCCAGGUGUGCGGCCGAUGCUCAGUGCAGUUUCUGGACACUGAUGAACCUUCCCAGGAUCCAUGGUGUCUUCAGACCCAGUCCCUGGUCCCACCCUGUCUUCCUCCGCUGUCCACUCCUGGGA